rnacentral:rRNA from 1 species
CAAUAGCGUAUAUUAAAGUUGUUGCGGUUAAAAAGCUCGUAGUUGGAUUUCUGUCUGAGGCGGCCGGUCCACUUUCUGAGUGAGCAUCUGGUCCGCUUUGGGCAUCCUCCUGGGGAACGUUUCCGCGCUUGAUUGUGUGGUACGGAAUCUAGGACUUUUACUUUGAGGAAAUUAGAGUGUUCACUGCAGGCAUACGCCUUGAAUACGUUAGCAUGGAAUAAUAAGAUAGGACCUCGGUUCUAUUUUUUCGGUUUCUAGAGCUGAGGUAAUGAUUAACAGGGAUAGUUGGGGGCAUUAGUAUUUAAUUGUCAGAGGUGGAAUUCUCAGAUUUGUUAAAGACUAACCUAUGCGAAAGCAUUUGCCAAGGAUGUUUUCAUUAAUCAAGAACGAAAGUUAGGGGAUCAAAGAUGAUUAGAUACCAU